GAUGAACGCUGGCGGCGUGCCUAAUACAUGCAAGUCGAGCGAACAGACGAGGAGCUUGCUCCUCUGACGUUAGCGGCGGACGGGUGAGUAACACGUGGAUACCCUCCUUUUAGAACGGGGUUACCUUCGGAAACCGGGAGCUAUUACGGGAUAUUUUUUUAACCGGAUGGUUUAAUUGUUAAAGACGGUUUUUCCUGUCCCUUUAGAUUGAUCCGCGCCGCAUUAGCUAGUUGGUAAGGUAACGGCUUACCAAGGCAACGAUGCGUAGCCGACCUGAGAGGGUGAUCGGCCACACUGGAACUGAGACACGGUCCAGACUCCUACGGGAGGCAGCAGUAGGGAAUCUUCCGCAAUGGGCGAAAGCCUGACGGAGCAACGCCGCGUGAGUGAUGAAGGUCUUCGGAUCGUAAAACUCUGUUAUUAGGGAAGAACAAAUGUGUAAGUAACUAUGCACGUCUUGACGGUACCUAAUCAGAAAGCCACGGCUAACUACGUG
rnacentral:rRNA from 1 species